AGUGAACGCUGGCGGUAGGCCUAACACAUGCAAGUCGAACGGCAGCACAGUAAGAGCUUGCUCUUACGGGUGGCGAGUGGCGGACGGGUGAGGAAUACAUCGGAAUCUACUUUUUCGUGGGGGAUAACGUAGGGAAACUUACGCUAAUACCGCAUACGCCCUUCGGGUGAAAGCAGGGGAUCUUCGGACCUUGCGCGAUUGAAUGAGCCGAUGUCGGAUUAGCUAGUUGGCGGGGUAAAGGCCCACCAAGGCGACGAUCCGUAGCUGGUCUGAGAGGAUGAUCAGCCACACUGGAACUGAGACACGGUCCAGACUCCUACGGGAGGCAGCAGUGGGGAAUAUUGGACAAUGGGCGCAAGCCUGGUCCAGCCAUACCGAGUGGGUGAAGAAGGCCUUCGGGUUGUAAAGCCCUUUUGUUGGGAAAGAAAAGCAGCAGGUUAAUACCCCGCUGUUCUGACGGUACCCAAAGAAUAAGCACCGGCUAACUUCGUG
rnacentral:rRNA from 1 species